rnacentral:rRNA from 1 species
GACGAACGCUGGCGGCGCGCUUAACACAUGCAAGUCGAACGGAAAGGCCUGCUUUCCCUUGUGGAUUGCGGGUACUUGAGUGGCGAACGGGUGAGUAACACGUGAGUGAUCUGCCCCCAACUUGGGUAUAAGCCUGGGAAACUGGGUCUAAUUCCCGAUAGGACUGCAGGGUGGUGCCUGUGGUGGAAAACGAUUUUCUAGUGGUUGGGGAUGAGCUCGCGGCCUAUCAGCUUGUUGGUGGGGUAAUGGCCUACCAAGGCGGCGACGGGUAGCCGGCCUGAGAGGGUGGACGGCCACAUUGGGACUGAGAUACGGCCCAGACUCCUACGGGAGGCAGCAGUGGGGAAUAUUGCACAAUGGGCGGAAGCCUGAUGCAGCGACGCCGCGUGGGGGAUGACGGCCUUCGGGUUGUAAACUCCUUUCGACCGCGAGGAAGCCACCUGGUUGGAAGGGUGGUGACGGUAGUGGUAGAAGAAGCACCGGCUAACUACGUG